rnacentral:misc_RNA from 1 species
UGUUAUAUUUGGACAGACAUUGUCGAACGUACCGUCGUCGCAACUGCACGCGCACUAUAUUAUUUAAAAAAACGAUUCAUUAAAUACAUCGUAUUGUAAUAUAAUAUUUUAAACUUUUAACUCGUGNGGCUAAUCGAAUUCACGUCCAACAUGUUUAACUUGGGAGGAGCGAUGAAAAAUAUUACAGCAAAAGCUGAAGAAUUAGUAGAGGAAAAGAAACAUGCUGCAACUUCACUUCUUGAAAAACAAGUAAAAGAAACCGGUGAGUUUUUAUCUAACACUCUCAACGAGGCAGAAGGCAAAGCUGUGAGCGCCGCUGAAGAGGCGAAAAAGGCAGCUGUGGACGGCUUUGACCAGGAGGUCGAAAAACUUGCUGAUAGUGCCUUACAGGAGACUUCUAAACAUGAUAUUGGUGGUGGUGGUUUAUUAGGUGGAGUUAAGAACUCAAUUGGUCAUGUUGCUAAUAAAGUGGAGUCUGGUGGUAGUCACGCGGGCCUUGAUUUUGGUUCACUGAUCGGAAAUACGGUUAGAAGCGCCAUAGCUACACAAAUACCCGUGAGCACAGUGGUUGACGACAAGCUCAAGGAGGCCGACCAGUUGCUCAGCGAGAAGCGCGAAGCUCUCGGGGAACCGGCGAAGAGCAUGAUGUCCAAGGCCAAGGGAUUGUUCGGCUGUAAGUUAGGUUGCUGUACUAUCAUGUAGGAAAAAAAUUUCUCACACAAACCCGUGUACGCACAGUCUACACACACUGUCGAUGUAUAUUAUUGCCAGAAUCAAUCAACUACUAAUCACUACAUAUUAUAUGCGUAUAGUGGGAAUAGNGACUUGGCUAUAAAACUUCUAUAGCGUGCUAACUGCU